rnacentral:rRNA from 1 species
UUAGAUACCCUAGUAUAAUAAAUUAAUAUAAUUAGUAUAUUUUGAAAUUUAAAAUUUUUGGCGGUUAAGUAUUAGUUUAGAGGAGCUUGUAUUUAGAAUUUGCUCUUUAGAUUUUAAUGAUUAAUGUUUAUUUAUUUCCGUUAUUAGACUGAGGUUAUAUAAGUUUAGUUUACUAUUUCAGGUCAAGAUGUAGCAAUAAUUUUAAAGUAUUAGCUACAAUUAUGGUAUAAUGGACUUUAUGUUUAAAAAAAAGAUGAAAUUGAAUUUAAUUGUAAUAUGAUUUAGAAAGAUUAUAUGGAAAGAUAUAUUUAAUGUACAUAUUGCCCGUCACUUCUUUUAAGUAGAAAGGAUAAGUCGUAACA